rnacentral:rRNA from 2 species
GUCGACGAACUCUGGUAUUGAUUGGUGCUUGCAUCAUGAUUUACAUUUGAGUGAGUGGCGAACUGGUGAGUAACACGUGGGAAACCUGCCCAGAAGCGGGGGAUAACACCUGGAAACAGAUGCUAAUACCGCAUAACAACUUGGACCGCAUGGUCCGAGUUUGAAAGAUGGCUUCGGCUAUCACUUUUGGAUGGUCCCGCGGCGUAUUAGCUAGAUGGUGGGGUAACGGCUCACCAUGGCAAUGAUACGUAGCCGACCUGAGAGGGUAAUCGGCCACAUUGGGACUGAGACACGGCCCAAACUCCUACGGGAGGCAGCAGUAGGGAAUCUUCCACAAUGGACGAAAGUCUGAUGGAGCAACGCCGCGUGAGUGAAGAAGGGUUUCGGCUCGUAAAACUCUGUUGUUAAAGAAGAACAUAUCUGAGAGUAACUGUUCAGGUAUUGACGGUAUUUAACCAGAAAGCCACGGCUAACUACGUGCCAGCAGCCGCGGUAAUACGUAGGUGGCAAGCGUUGUCCGGAUUUAUUGGGCGUAAAGCGAGCGCAGGCGGUUUUUUAAGUCUGAUGUGAAAGCCUUCGGCUCAACCGAAGAAGUGCAUCGGAAACUGGGAAACUUGAGUGCAGAAGAGGACAGUGGAACUCCAUGUGUAGCGGUGAAAUGCGUAGAUAUAUGGAAGAACACCAGUGGCGAAGGCGGCUGUCUGGUCUGUAACUGACGCUGAGGCUCGAAAGUAUGGGUAGCAAACAGGAUUAGAUACCCUGGUAGUCCAUACCGUAAACGAUGAAUGCUAAGUGUUGGAGGGUUUCCGCCCUUCAGUGCUGCAGCUAACGCAUUAAGCAUUCCGCCUGGGGAGUACGGCCGCAAGGCUGAAACUCAAAGGAAUUGACGGGGGCCCGCACAAGCGGUGGAGCAUGUGGUUUAAUUCGAAGCUACGCGAAGAACCUUACCAGGUCUUGACAUACUAUGCAAAUCUAAGAGAUUAGACGUUCCCUUCGGGGACAUGGAUACAGGUGGUGCAUGGUUGUCGUCAGCUCGUGUCGUGAGAUGUUGGGUUAAGUCCCGCAACGAGCGCAACCCUUAUUAUCAGUUGCCAGCAUUAAGUUGGGCACUCUGGUGAGACUGCCGGUGACAAACCGGAGGAAGGUGGGGAUGACGUCAAAUCAUCAUGCCCCUUAUGACCUGGGCUACACACGUGCUACAAUGGAUGGUACAACGAGUUGCGAACUCGCGAGAGUAAGCUAAUCUCUUAAAGCCAUUCUCAGUUCGGAUUGUAGGCUGCAACUCGCCUACAUGAAGUCGGAAUCGCUAGUAAUCGCGGAUCAGCAUGCCGCGGUGAAUACGUUCCCGGGCCUUGUACACACC